CUGCGCAUGUUCCGGUUUUGUGUUGAACAGGCAAAGUAUCACCGCUCCGUAUUUUAAACUGCUAACUACACACCUAUACUUCAGGAACUAUUACUACUAUGUGGAUGUAAGCAAAGUGUUCUCAUUCCCUCUUGGAUGUGUGCAGCCAGUGAGGUACGUUUUGUUUAAGGGCUUGUUAUAUCUGCUCGACGGCACGGACAGCUAACUGGGAUAGCGAGUGGAGCUAGCGGCUGCCGGAUGGAGCAGCCAGUCAGCCAGCUUGCUAACUACACACCGGUGCUUACGUCCACAUGUACUCAACGAAGUGGAAACGCCUUUGACGGUCUCCCUGCUGCCGCCAUUCGACCACUGCAGCUCAUCCAGAAUGCAGCAGCUCGACUGGUCUUCAACCUUCCAAAAUACUCCCACACCACUUCUCCGCUCUCUUCUUUGGAUACGAGUGGCUGCCCGCAUGCAGUUCAAAGCAUUGGUACUGACGGACCACGCUGUGAAUGGAUCGGGAGCAGUCUACAUCCGGGACAUGGUGAAACCCUGCAUCCCAACCCACGCACUCCGAUCUGCAUCUGGCAAGCUGCUUGUUCCUCCCUCACUGAGAGAAAAGCACUCGACGAGAUGGCGACUCUUUGCUGUCCUGCUCCCAGAUGGUGGAAUGAGCUCUCUGAUGACAUCAGGACCGCAGAGAGCCUCUACAUCUUCCGUCGAAAACUCAAGACACACCUUUUUAGACUCUACCUUGACUAAAACACUAGCAAACCGUAGCACUAACAAAUGGUAGCACUUAAAUUGUACUUAUAAUGCCACUUAUCUUUAACAUGUUUUGGGCGGUGAUUUAUUCAGUCAUGUUUAGUCAUAUUUUGUUUUUUUUACUUGUCAAUAUGGUUUGGUACAUGCCGAGUUAAUCAAUACACAUUCUAAAGUGCAACGUCCAUAUGUGAAUAAGAGUUGUAUACGUUUAUCAUAGUCAACAUGGUGUGGAAAUAUCCCUUAUGUAGUUGGUCAAUAGGAACUAUAGUAGGCAGAAAUAACAGCUAAGGUAAUUACAGGUGGAUAUUUCUGGGAAUUAACCUUGAUUGAGACUGCAUCUAUGAUAUCUAAGAUAUACAGGACAAGAAAAAUGCACUGGAUGUGUAUAUGUGUUGAAUCAAUUAUACAGACGCAAACUGGAGAACGAGACAA